rnacentral:rRNA from 1 species
CCUACGGGUGGCUGCAGUGGGGAAUUUUGGUCAAUGGGCGCAAGCCUGAUCCAGCCAUGCCGCGUGCGGGAAGAAGGCCUUCGGGUUGUAAACCGCUUUUGUCAGGGAAGAAAAGGUUCGAGCUAAUACCUCGGACUAAUGACGGUACCUGAAGAAUAAGCACCGGCUAACUACGUGCCAGCAGCCGCGGUAAUACGUAGGGUGCAAGCGUUAAUCGGAAUUACUGGGCGUAAUGCGUGCGCAGGCGGGUGAAAUCCCCGGGCUCAACCUGGGAACUGCAUUUGUGACUGCAUGACUUGAGUACGGUAGAGGGGGAUGGAAUUCCGCGUGUAGCAGUGAAAUGCGUAGAUAUGCGGAGGAACACCGAUGGCGAAGGCAAUCCCCUGGACCUGUACUGACGCUCAGGCACGAAAGCGUGGGGAGCAAACAGGAUUAGAUACCCCGGUAGUC